CCUACGGGUGGCUGCAGUGGGGAAUAUUGCACAAUGGAGGAAACUCUGAUGCAGCAACGCCGCGUGGAGGAUGACGCAUUUCGGUGUGUAAACUCCUUUUAUAGGGGAAGAUAAUGACGGUACCCUAUGAAUAAGCACCGGCUAACUCCGUGCCAGCAGCCGCGGUAAUACGGAGGGUGCAAGCGUUACUCGGAAUCACUGGGCGUAAAGGAUGCGUAGGCUGGAAAUCAAGUCGAAAGUGAAAUCCAACGGCUCAACCGUUGAACUGCUUUCGAAACUGGUUACCUAGAAUAUGGGAGAGGUAGAUGGAAUUAGUGGUGUAGGGGUAAAAUCCGUAGAUAUCACUAGGAAUACCGAUUGCGAAGGCGAUCUACUGGAACAUUAUUGACGCUGAGGCAUGAAAGCGUGGGGAGCAAACAGGAUUAGAUACCCUAGUAGUC
rnacentral:rRNA from 1 species